ACGCUAGCUACAGGCUUAACACAUGCAAGUCGAGGGGAAACGGCAUUAAGUGCUUGCACUUUUUGGACGUCGACCGGCGCACGGGUGAGUAACGCGUAUCCAACCUUCCCAUGACUAAGGGAUAACCUGCCGAAAGGCAGACUAAUACCUUAUAGUCUUCACUGACGGCAUCAGAUGUGAAGUAAAGGUUUAUCGGUUAUGGAUGGGGAUGCGUCUGAUUAGCUUGUUGGCGGGGUAACGGCCCACCAAGGCAACGAUCAGUAGGGGUUCUGAGGGGAAGGUCCCCCACAUUGGAACUGAGACACGGUCCAAACUCCUACGGGAGGCAGCAGUGAGGAAUAUUGGUCAAUGGGCGAGAGCCUGAACCAGCCAAGUAGCGUGCAGGAUGACGGCCCUAUGGGUUGUAAACUGCUUUUGUAUGGGGAUAAAGUCAAUCACGUGUGAUUGUUUGCAGGUACCAUACGAAUAAGGACCGGCUAAUUCCGUGCCAGCAGCCGCGGUAAUACGGAAGGUCCGGGCGUUAUCCGGAUUUAUUGGGUUUAAAGGGAGCGUAGGCUGGAGAUUAAGUGUGUUGUGAAAUGUAGACGCUCAACGUCUGACUUGCAGCGCAUACUGGUUUCCUUGAGUACGCACAACGUUGGCGGAAUUCGUCGUGUAGCGGUGAAAUGCUUAGAUAUGACGAAGAACUCCGAUUGCGAAGGCAGCUGACGGGAGCGCAACUGACGCUGAAGCUCGAAGGUGCGGGUAUCGAACAGGAUUAGAUACCCUGGUAGUCCGCACAGUAAACGAUGGAUGCCCGCUGUUGGUACUUGGUAUCAGCGGCUAAGCGAAAGCAUUAAGCAUCCCACCUGGGGAGUACGCCGGCAACGGUGAAACUCAAAGGAAUUGACGGGGGCCCGCACAAGCGGAGGAACAUGUG
rnacentral:rRNA from 1 species